rnacentral:rRNA from 1 species
GUGGGGAAUUUUGGACAAUGGGGGAAACCCUGAUCCAGCGACGCCGCGUGAAGGAUGAAGGCCUUCGGGUUGUAAACUUCUUUUGGAGGGGACGAAUAAAUUGACGGUACCCUCAGAAAAAGCCACGGCUAACUACGUGCCAGCAGCCGCGGUAAUACGUAGGUGGCGAGCGUUACUCGGAAUUACUAGGCGUAAAGCGUAUGUAGGCGGUUGUAUAAGUCUAUGGUGAAAUUUCCUGGCUCAACUGGGAAGGGACAUAGAUACUGUAUGGCUUGAGUGUUGGAGGGGGAGACGGAAUUCCUGGUGUAGCGGUGAAAUGCGUAGAUAUCAGGAGGAACACCGAUGGCGAAAGCAGUCUCCUGGCCAAAUACUGACGCUGAGGUACGAAAGCUAGGGUAGCAAACAGGAUUAGAAACCCCAGUAGUCC